CCUACGGGCGGCAGCAGUCGAGAAUCAUUCACAAUGGGGGAAACCCUGAUGGUGCGACGCCGCGUGGGGGAUUGAAGGCCUUCGGAUUGUACACCCCUGUCAUGUGGGAGCAAAUUAAAAAGAUAGUACCACAUGAGGAAGAGACGGCUAACUCUGUGACAGCAGCCGCGGUAAGACAGAGGUCCCGAGAGUUGUGCGGCAUCACUGGGCGUAAAGGGUGCGUAGGCUGUUUCGUAAGUCGUGUGUGAAAUGCGCGGGCUCAAACCGCGGAGUGCACAGGAUACUGGGCGACUAGAGUAAUGGAGGGGGAACCGGAAUUCUCGGUGUAGCAGUGAAAUGCGUAGAUAUCGAGAGGAACACUCGUGGCGAAGGCGGGUUCCUGGACAUUAACUGACGCUGAGGCACGAAAGCCAGGGGAGCGAAAGGGAUUAGAUACCCUGGUAGUC
rnacentral:rRNA from 1 species